UGUCACACCUUGGAAGAGAGGUAGAAAAAUGUGAUUUGUUAACUAUUGGAUGCGUAUGUUGGAAAGGCAAUUGUGUGGCAGGCUGAAGCAGCGGAGGAGCAUUCUGGCUGUUAUCCAAGAUCUGACUGUGGGAACUUUCAGCUGCCACAAGCUGAGGAGAAAGCAGAAAGCGUGAAGAAAACCAGCCUGGCAGGACUUGUGUUUGUUUUUGGGGAGGAACUAUCUGUCCCAAUUUCUGAAGCAGCAAUGACAACCAGAGCAUUUUCAGACAGCUUGCUGAGAACAGAGAACUGCACUGACUUGUGCAGAACAGCGAAUAAAAGAGAGAAGAGAGAAAGCCCAGUAUGAAAACAAGCUACAGAAGUGUUUGCAGAAGCAAGUUGCUAAAUGUCCAUCCAGCCUGCUGAAUAUCCCAGAGAAGGUCUGAAGUAAAACUUUCAGAUUCUGGAAUGCCUAAUGGAAAGAGUAUUAUUCACAAAAGAGGAUGUAUCUAAAGUUACAAUCAUACAC